AAAGCCCUGGUCCUGACUUUAAUAUCAAUUAUGGUCCAAAUUACACAUGCAAGUACCAGCAACCCCGUGAGAAUGCCCACUAUCCCCUUAAUGGGGAAGAGGAGCAGGCAUCAGGCACACAACCAACUGAAGUAGCCCAAAACGCCUUGCUUAGCCACACCCCCAAGGGAAUUCAGCAGUGAUAAACAUUAGGCCAUGAGUGAAAACUCGACUUAAUUAAGACCAAAUAGAACCGGUAAAACUCGUGCCAGCCACCGCGGUUAUACGAGAGGUUCAAAUUGAUAAUCCACGGCGUAAAGCAUGAUUAGAGAAAAAACAAAACUAAAGCCAAACAUCCCCCAAGCCGUCAUACGCUUACGGAAGUAAGAAGCCCCACAACGAAAGUGGCCUUAAAACACCUUGAAUUCAUGAACGUUAAGAAACAAACUGGGAUUAGAUACCCCACUAUGCUUAACUGUAAACAACGAUGAUAAUAUACAGAUAUCAUCCGCCAGGGGACUACGAGCAUUAGCUUAAAACCCAAAGGACUUGGCGGUGCCUCAAACCCACCUAGAGGAGCCUGUUCUAUAACCGAUAACCCCCGUUCAACCUCACCACUCCUUGUCAUCCCAGCCUAUAUACCGCCGUCGCCAGCUUACCUCGUGAGAGCAUAAUAGUAAGCCAAAUGGGCCCUGCCCAAAACGUCAGGUCGAGGUGUAGCAAAUGAAGUGGGAAGAAAUGGGCUACAUUUUCUAACCCAGAAUAUUACGAAAAGUGCCAUGAAACAAGCACAACUGAAGGUGGUUUUAGCAGUAAAAAGAAAACAGAGAGUUCUU
rnacentral:rRNA from 1 species